UACAGAGGGGGCAAGCGUUAUUCGGAAUUAUUGGGCGUAAAGGGCGCGUAGGCGGCCUUUCAAGUGACGGGUGAAAGCCCUCGGCUUAACCGAGGAACUGCCUGUCAGACUGGAAGGCUUGAGACCGGGAGAGGUGAGUGGAAUUCCCAGUGUAGCGGUGAAAUGCGUAGAUAUUGGGAGGACACCAGUGGCGAAGGCGGCUCACUGGACCGGUACUGACGCUGAGGCGC
rnacentral:rRNA from 1 species